GCCAAGUGAGAAAAUCUGCAACUGGAUGCAUAGUUAUCAGCAUUUCAUUGAGACAUUUGGUCGAACACUUUUGGUCUAAAUCAUAAUUGAAUUGAAUUGGAUAUCAUUGCAACUUAUCUUUGUUUCUUGCUUUCUAAAUCUGAUCUAGAACCAUUCCUAAGUUCCUUUUGAAGUGCUACCUAUUCUUGAUAUCGUUUAAUUUCUUGAUUUUUGGUUUGUUUGGAACUCUGCACACCAACUGUUUGUGACAAUUACAGUUGGUGUGUUCUGAUAGCUCUUGUUGAAGCAGUAUAAUCUACCAAUUUCGUCAUUAACACCUGCUGUUUGUGGAACCGUGUGAAUGCUUUUGUGGUUGCAGAUCAGUUCCAGUUGGUUUAUAGUCUUGGUAGCACCUUAGGAAGAGGUUUGGGUGAGUGAAAAAAAUUAAAGGAAGAGGCAAACCGUGAGAUCUAAAGCUGCAGAAAAUUGUUGUUGUUCUGCAUAAUUGGCUGUAACAGCCACUGUUUCAGAUUUGAUACAUAUCCAGAAUUGAAAUCUUCACUCUCCGCAACUGUGAGAAUUGUGGCUGCACCAAUUUAAUUGCAGCUUUCCUUGAGAGAAGCCAAAGUUGUACUUGCCAUUCCCUUUCCAUUGUUGAAAUUACUAGUUGUAACUUGUUUUCUUUCUUUCUUUCAAUUCUUGUAAUUUGGCCAUUUCAAGCAAGUGAAGUGGAAGAGCUCAUAAGUGUUCUUUCCUCAUUUGCUAACUUGACUAAAAGUCUCUCCCACUUUAAAAUUAGUAGACGGUGAGUGUGUCUUAGAUCCAAAGUCUAAGCCUCACCUAGGAGACCUCAUCUUUACUUUCUUCUUCAUUUCAAGUUUCCAUAUCCUUCCAUUAUUUUUUUUAAGUUUCAAGUUUCGCCUAGGAAGCUCUUAGAGUCCGAAUUAGAGUCUAGGUUUUAUUUCUUUGCUUGCUUGUUGUCUUUAAGACUUGUGGUGGAUUUAAAAGUGAUUUUGACUUAAAGACUUUUGUAAGUAGCUAGAAGCAUAUUUGGCAAGGCAAGACUUGGUACUUAAGCAACCUUUUUAGGUUCACCUCUCUUACAUGGAAUAUUGCUUUCAAGUGAAA
rnacentral:lncRNA from 1 species